rnacentral:rRNA from 1 species
UCAGAUUGAACGCUGGCGGCAUGCUUUACACAUGCAAGUCGAACGGCAGCGGGGAGGAGCUUGCUUCUCUGCCGGCGAGUGGCGAACGGGUGAGUAAUACAUCGGAACGUGUCGAGAAGAGGGGGAUAACCACCCGAAAGGGUGGCUAAUACCGCAUAAAUUCUGAGGAAGAAAGCUGGGGACCUAGGAAUAGGCCUAGCGCUUUUUGAGCGGCCGAUGUCGGAUUAGCUAGUUGGUGAGGUAAAGGCUCACCAAGGCGAAGAUCUGUAGCGGGUCUGAGAGGAUGAUCCGCCACACUGGGACUGAGACACGGCCCAGACUCCUACGGGAGGCAGCAGUGGGGAAUUUUGGACAAUGGGGGCAACCCUGAUCCAGCCAUGCCGCGUGUAUGAAGAAGGCCUUAGGGUUGUAAAGUACUUUUGUUAGGGAAGAAAAGUCAGCUGUGAAUAAUAGCUGAUACUGACGGUACCUAAAGAAUAAGCACCGGCUAACUACGUGCCAGCAGCCGCGGUAAUACGUAGGGUGCGAGCGUUAAUCGGAAUUAUUGGGCGUAAAGCGAGUGUAGACGGUUAUUUAAGCCAGAUGUGAAAUACCCGAGCCUAACUUGGGAGGUGCAUAUGGAACUGGGUAGCUAGAGUGUGUCAGAGGGAGGUAGAACUCCACGUGUAGCAGUGAAAUGCGUAGAGAUGUGGAAGAAUACCGAUGGCGAAGGCAGCCUCCUGGGAUAACACUGACGUUGAGGCUCGAAAGCGUGGGGAGCAAACAGGAUUAGAUACCUG